UACGGAGGGUGCGAGCGUUGUCCGGAAUCACUGGGCGUAAAGGGCGCGUAGGUGGCCUGGCAAGCGUGCGGUGAAAGCUCGGGGCUCAACCCCGAGUCGGCCGUGCGAACUGCUAUGGCUCGAGCACUGUAGAGGCAGGCGGAAUUCCGGGUGUAGCGGUGGAAUGCGUAGAGAUCCGGAAGAACACCGGUGGCGAAGGCGGCCUGCUGGGCAGUAGCUGACACUGAGGCGCGACAGCGUGGGGGAGCAAACAGG
rnacentral:rRNA from 1 species